rnacentral:tRNA from 1 species
GGGCUGGGGCUCAGUGGUAGAGUGCUCACCUAGCAUGUGUGAGGUGCUGGGUUCAAUCCUUAGCACCACA